rnacentral:rRNA from 1 species
GACGAACGCUGGCGGCGUGCUUAACACAUGCAAGUCGAACGGAAAGGCCCUGCUUUUGUGGGGUGCUCGAGUGGCGAACGGGUGAGUAACACGUGAGUAACCUGCCCUUGACUUUGGGAUAACUUCAGGAAACUGGGGCUAAUACCGGAUAGGAGCUCCUGCUGCAUGGUGGGGGUUGGUAAGUUUCGGCGGUUGGGGAUGGACUCGCGGCUUAUCAGCUUGUUGGUGGGGUAGGGGCUUACCAAGGCUUUGACGGGUAGCCGGCCUGAGAGGGUGACCGGCGACAUUGGGACUGAGAUACGGACCAGACGCCUACGGGAGGCAGCAGUGGGGAAUAUUGCACAAUGGGCGGAAGCCUGAUGCAGCAACGCCGCGUGCGGGAUGACGGCCUUCGGGUUGUAAACCGCUGUCGCCUGUGACGAAGCGUGAGUGACGGUAAUGGGUAAAGAAGCACCGGCUAACUACGUG